rnacentral:rRNA from 1 species
GACGAACGCUGGCGGCGUGCUUAACACAUGCCAGUCGAACGGAAAGGCCCUGCUUUUGUGGGGUGCUCGAGUGGCGAACGGGUGAGUAACACGUGAGUAACCUGCCCUUGACUUUGGGAUAACUUCAGGAAACUGGGGCGAAUACCGGAUAGGAGCUCCUGCUGCAUGGUGGGGGUUGGAAAGUUUCGGCGGUUGGGGAUGGACUCGCGGCUUAUCAGCUUGUUGGUGGGGUAGUGGCUUACCAAGGCUUUGACGGGUAGCCGGCCUGAGAGGGUGACCGGCCACAUUGGGACUGAGAUACGGCCCAGACUCCUACGGGAGGCAGCAGUGGGGAAUAUUGCACAAUGGGCGGAAGCCUGAUGCAGCAACGCCGCGUGCGGGAUGACGGCCUUCGGGUUGUAAACCGCUUUCGCCUGUGACGAAGCGUGAGUGACGGUAAUGGGGAAAGAAGCACCGGCUAACUACGU